GUAGUACUCCCUCCGUUCGGAAUUACUUGUCACAAAAAUGGAUGUAUCUACAACUAAAAUACAUCUAGAUACAUUCAUUUGUUAGACGAGUAAUUCCGAAUGGAGGGAGUAUGUA
rfam:Triticum aestivum genome assembly, contig: Triticum_aestivum_CS42_TGACv1_scaffold_555972_7AL